UAGUACGGCCAUGACUGAGGGC
rnacentral:miRNA from 1 species